rnacentral:rRNA from 1 species
UACGGAGGGGGCAAGCGUUGUUCGGAAUUACUGGGCGUAAAGGGCUCGUAGGUGGCCAACUAAGUCAGACGUGAAAUCCCCAGGCUCAACUUGGGAACUGCGUCUGAUACUGGAUGGCUUGGAUUUGGGAGAGGGAUGCGGAAUUCCAGGUGUAGCGGUGAAAUGCGUAGAUAUCGGAAGGAACAUCAGUGGCGAAAGCGGCUUCCUGGACCAGUACCGACGUUCAGGCACGAAAGCGUGGGGAGCAAACAGG